rnacentral:lncRNA from 1 species
CAGACUUAGUAUCAAAAUACCUUAAUUUAUAGAUCCUAGACUCAACCUCCUCCUAUUUAUUUCACUUGGAUAUAUAUAAAAACUUUCAAUAGAUGUCAAUAUUAAAAAAUAAAAAGACUAUCAUGUCAUAACUGUAAAAUUGUGGACUUACAUGGAGAAGUCGAAAACGUUCACCAGCAAAAGAUUUUUUCAUCAUAUA